UACGUAGGGUCCGAGCGUUGUCCGGAAUUACUGGGCGUAAAGGGCGCGUAGGCGGCGUGGUAAGUCACUUGUGAAAUCUCCGAGCUUAACUCAGAACGGCCAAGUGAUACUGCUGUGCUAGAGUGCAGAAGGGGCAAUCGGAAUUCUUGGUGUAGCGGUGAAAUGCGUAGAUAUCAAGAGGAACACCUGAGGUGAAGACGGGUUGCUGGGCUGACACUGACGCUGAGGCGCGAAAGCCAGGGGAGCAAACGGG
rnacentral:rRNA from 1 species